GUCAAUUCAGUCGUAUCCAGUCUGUUCCCCAUCCUUGUUACUACUCUGUCUUGCCAGAAACUUGACCAUCCUAUGCUGUUCAACGAGGCAGUAAUUCAAAGGAUCACAGACAUCAAAGCCUUCGUUCUUUCCGAAUUCACUCCUGUUCCAUUCCGGUUGGCUCCUUCUGUGACCGAGGACUUUUAGUCUUGGUGGCAAUCCUAUUACGCCGAGGUUUUAGAUGCAACUCCUUCUGACCGUGCGUCUACCCACAACAAUGGUUCUAAUGCAGCCUCAUUUUCUGAAUUGCAGAGUCAGGGCUACCGGAAAUGCCGUCUCUGAUCUUUUAAAGCUGCACUUCCGGCUAGCACUGUUCAGGAGUCUUCUAACACCCCUGAUGAUGUUCAAGCUGUUGAGGAGCUGGCUGUUCUGCUGACAGGUAGUCUUCCAGAGGAACAAGUCUCCCUGAAAAGGUUGAGGCGAGGCAAACGGUCUGCAACCACUCCGACUAAGCUAGCUUCCAUGGCAUCCAAGCAGUCUCGGUCAGCGGUGCUUAUAUCCGAAUCCCCUUCCAAGAAAUCUGCAGAAGACACCACUCUGCCCUUGCAUCACCAUACUGGCACUUCUGUGGUUUAUGGUGCACUUAAAGGCAAAAGUCAAGUUUCCUAUCAACCCCCUGCUCCCGUUUUGGCUGUAGUUCCAUCUCCUCCGGCCUCUGAAGGGAUUUUAUUGGCAUGCUCUCUCGCCUGAAUCUUCUAAGGUCCUCCCGGGCUCAUUCAUCCAAGACGGCCUUAGUGCAUCUUCCCAGGUCGUCUCUGUUAUCGACCGUGUGAAAGCCCUAUAUGAAGCCUCUGUCAAUAUGUCUGCGAGGGAGUUUUGGAGGAGUGGGCAGACUGUUGAUUUGGAGCAGAUUGCGAAUGAGAUUUUGGCUGAUCCUACUCUCUCGUCAAAACAUGUCUGUGGAGAUCUUCUCAAGGAUUUGAGCAGGAUGAUCGGGAGUUCUAUUCCUGAGGCAAUCGAUGUUUUGGACUCGACUCAAUGAUCUCAGGACAUUCAAAAAGCCUCUUCUAAGAAGGUGGAUGCUGCGCAACCCAAACUGGAGCGUUUGAUGGAGGCUGCAACAGCUUCUCAGGCCAAAAUUAAACGCCUAGACAAAGAGAUCAGUAAUCUCCGAAGGGAGAGAGAAGAAGAUAGAGUCUAAUGCUUAGGCGUUUCAGGAACUCUUUGGGGAAGUUACCUUGUUGGCUGAAGGUCUACAAGCCUCUGAACCGCAUGUUGAAGCCUGGGAGAGGGAUCUAAUUGAAGUCACCCAUCAGUUAUCUCAGCUGGAUUACAAACUGCAGGCUGGUUGGUCUCAGAUAGCUGACCGCUUCAACUUUGAGGCCUGCGAGCCAGAAAAUCUAAGGGGAAUGCCCCCUAGUAUGUUUGGAUGAUUUUCUUUCCUCUUUCUGCAUCUUCUCCCCUUUUUGGUGAUGAACGUUUAUGGUCGUUCUUUUAAGUAAUGAAGCUCUUGUCAUUUUA